GGCAUUGUCCCCACUCAGAAAUGCUCCAAAAGAACUAAGGAGAAGGAUUAGAGGAGACAAAAUGUUUUUGCUAAAUUCUUGCACUGAAGCCAGAGUUGCUCAGGAAAUAACAGCUCAGUUUGUUAGCUCUGAUCUCUAAUUCCAUCCCAAAUUCAUAACGUUAUUUUUUUUGUUUGUUUCCAUUGUUCAUUUGUUGUGUGCCUCUUAGGAUGUCCCUUUCCAUCUGGGCCUCAAUGACCUUCCCUGGGAAAUGGGGUACUUGUACUUAACCAUACCCCUGCUUCUAAAGACAAACUGGGAAAAUUAAAUGGAAAUUCUAAAAGAAAGCUUCAUCUUUUAGUUCCUUAGAGAACUAGCAUUACAGUUGAUUACCUAGGUGAUGAUUCAAGCUAUUCAACCCUUGUCAUUCUGAAUGUACUUCUCUUCCAGCUUGCCUUGGAAAGAAAAUCAGCCAGUUAAAGAAAGCAUCAGCUGGAACUCUCUCAGCUCUCAGUGACUGCAGAGUGAACUAUGGCAUUCAGCAUAGAAAAUGUUCUUCCAGUGCUCCAAUAAAUAGCAUUCAGUUUUUAGCCCCAGGGAAUUCAGUGUAGCCCUGGUUACUCCUCACUGCCACAGCCAACACUGCUUCCUUGGGUAGGAGAAAUGAUUUAUGGAGGUGAGCAGCCAUUCCAAACUUUAAUUAAGCACGUAAAGAACCAUCAAUUUUUUAAAGGGCACCAACCCAGAAAGAUGAGAGCUGAACUCCUGUAGAACAUAAUUACCUUUCCAACAUUUUAUCUGAUCUCCUUGUUUUACUUCUCUAAGAUGAGCUGAACAACAGCCAAUCAACCACCCCCACAGAAACCAUGGAAAUGCACAGGCCACCCUUGGACCAUGACAUACAGGGCAUCUGACUGAUAGUCCCACCAAGACUGCCUAUGAUCAUAAAUGUCCAGCUGUUUGGGCAGACAGCAGUCAAGGCUGUGCUGUGGUGCAGUUUACUCCUGCAGAGAAAGAUGUGCCUAAAAGAGAAGCAGCACCUACCUGGAAGACUCAGGAGACAAAGAGGGAAAGAAAUGAAUCCCCAAGAUUUCCUGGGCUGAGCCUAACAGGAUAUGAGAAGCAGAAACUUCUGGAUUGUGAGAAGAAACAAAGGAAGAAGAGAGAUGCUCUAUAGGAGAAAAAUCACAGACAAUAAGUGGGGAGAGCAAGAAGACAAAGUUUUGUUACUUUAAUUCACCACUCCUAUCCCCAGCCACCAGUGGCCAUCCUGUACUGGAUUCUAAACCCAGGGCCCUAA
rnacentral:lncRNA from 1 species